AUUGAACGCUGGCGGCAGGCCUAACACAUGCAAGUCGGGCGAGUGGCGGACGGGUGAGUAAUGUAUGGGGACUGCCCGAUAGAGGGGGAUAACUACUGGAAACGGUGGCUAAUAACGCAUACUAUCGGAUAACCCAUAUGGGAUUCGCUCGUAGGUAGGGUAACGGCGCACCUAGGCGACGAUCUCUAGCUGGUCUGAGAGGAUGAUCAGCCACACGGGGACUGAGACACGGCCCAGACUCCCACGGAGGCAGCAGUGGGGAAUAUUGCACAAGGGGCGCAAGCCUGAUGCAGCCAUGCCGCGUGUAUGAAGAAGGCCUUAGGGUUGUAAAGUACUUUCAGCGGGGAGGCGUUACCCGCAGAAGAAGCACCGGCUAACUCCGUGCCAGCAGCCGCGGUAAUAC
rnacentral:rRNA from 1 species